rnacentral:rRNA from 1 species
AUUGAACGCUGGCGGCAGGCCUAACACAUGCAAGUCGAGCGAGCGGCGGACGGGUGAGUAAUGUAGGGGAAACUGCCUGAUGGAGGGGUAUAACUACUGGAAACGGUAGCUAAUACCGCAUACCAUCAGAUGUGCCCAGAUGGGAUUAGCUAGUAGGUGGGGUAACGGCUCACCUAGGCGACGAUCCCUAGCUGGUCUGAGAGGAUGACCGGCCACACUGGAACUGAGACACGGUCCAGACUCCGACGGGAGGCAGCAGUGGGGAAUAUUGCGCAAUGGGCGCAAGCCUGAUGCAGCCAUGCCGCGUGUAUGAAGAAGGCCUUCGGGUCGUAAAGCACUGUCAGCGGGGAGGCGUUACCCACAGAAGAAGCACCGGCUAACUCCGUGCCAGCAGCCGCGGUAAUAC